rnacentral:rRNA from 1 species
GAGUUUGAUCCUGGCUCAGGACGAACGCUGGCGGCGCGCCUAACACAUGCAAGUCGAACGAGAGAGAGGGAGCUUGCUUCCUCAAUCGAGUGGCGAACGGGUGAGUAACGCGUGAGGAACCUGCCUCAAAGAGGGGGACAACAGUUGGAAACGACUGCUAAUACCGCAUAAGCCCACAGCUCGGCAUCGAGCAGAGGGAAAAGGAGCAAUCCGCUUUGAGAUGGCCUCGCGUCCGAUUAGCUAGUUGGUGAGGUAACGGCCCACCAAGGCAACGAUCGGUAGCCGGACUGAGAGGUUGAACGGCCACAUUGGGACUGAGACACGGCCCAGACUCCUACGGGAGGCAGCAGUGGGGAAUAUUGCACAAUGGGGGAAACCCUGAUGCAGCGACGCCGCGUGGAGGAAGAAGGUCUUCGGAUUGUAAACUCCUGUUGUUGAGGAAGAUAAUGACGGUACUCAACAAGGAAGUGACGGCUAACUACGUGCCAGCAGCCGCGGUAAAACGUAGGUCACAAGCGUUGUCCGGAAUUACUGGGUGUAAAGGGAGCGCAGGCGGGAAGACAAGUUGGAAGUGAAAUCUAUGGGCUCAACCCAUAAACUGCUUUCAAAACUGUUUUUCUUGAGUAGUGCAGAGUAGCGGAAUUCCCGGUGUAGCGGUGGAAUGCGUAGAUAUCGGGAGGAACACCAGUGGCGAAGGCGGCCUACUGGGCACCAACUGACGCUGAGGCUCGAAAGUGUGGGUAGCAAACAGGAUUAGAUACCCUGGUAGUCCACACCGUAAACGAUGAUUACUAGGUGUUGGAGGAUUGACCCCUUCAGUGCCGCAGUUAACACAAUAAGUAAUCCACCUGGGGAGUACGACCGCAAGGUUGAAACUCAAAGGAAUUGACGGGGGCCCGCACAAGCAGUGGAGUAUGUGGCUUAAUUCGACGCAACGCGAAGAACCUUACCAAGUCUUGACAUCCUGCGACGCACAUAGAAAUAUGUGUUUCCUUCGGGACGCAGAGACAGGUGGUGCAUGGUUGUCGUCAGCUCGUGUCGUGAGAUGUUGGGUUAAGUCCCGCAACGAGCGCAACCCUUACUGUCAGUUACUACGCAAGAGGACUCUGGCAGGACUGCCGUUGACAAAACGGAGGAAGGUGGGGAUGACGUCAAAUCAUCAUGCCCUUUAUGACUUGGGCUACACACGUACUACAAUGGCGUUAAACAAAGAGAAGCAAGACCGCGAGGUGGAGCAAAACUCAGAAACGACGUCCCAGUUCGGACUGCAGGCUGCAACUCGCCUGCACGAAGUCGGAAUUGCUAGUAAUCGUGGAUCAGCAUGCCACGGUGAAUACGUUCCCGGGCCUUGUACACACCGCCCGUC